GAUGAACGCUGGCGGCGUGCCUAAUACAUGCAAGUCGAGCGAACAGACGAGGAGCUUGCUCCUCUGGCGUUAGCGGCGGACGGGUGAGUAACACGUGGAUAACCUACCUAUAAGACUGGGAUAACUUCGGGAAACCGGAGCUAAUACCGGAUAAUAUAUUGAACCGCAUGGUUCAAUAGUGAAAGACGGUUUUGCUGUCACUUAUAGAUGGAUCCGCGCCGCAUUAGCUAGUUGGUAAGGUAACGGCUUACCAAGGCAACGAUGCGUAGCCGACCUGAGAGGGUGAUCGGCCACACUGGAACUGAGACACGGUCCAGACUCCUACGGGAGGCAGCAGUAGGGAAUCUUCCGCAAUGGGCGAAAGCCUGGCGGAGCAACGCCGCGUGAGUGAUGAAGGUCUUCGGAUCGUAAAACUCUGUUAUUAGGGAAGAACAAAUGUGUAAGUAACUAUGCACGUCUUGACGGUACCUAAUCAGAAAGCCACGGCUAACUACGUG
rnacentral:rRNA from 1 species